AGGUCUGUUCAUGAUGAACUAGGACGUAAUAAAAGGCGGAAAACUUUGAUCUACCCAGUGCAUUUUUACACUAAAUUGAAAAACAGUGGAUUUUCAGGUGUCGUCAACUGGACAAAACACGAGGACAUUUUCCGAAAGGACUAUCUAUUGAUAGUCGAGAAUGCUCUUGGAAACCACUGGAGACUCAUGAUUGUGUGCUUCCCUGGAAACGAAGAAGUGGAACAUACCAAAAGGGGGCGGAAAUUGGUGCAAAGAAGGAGGCCUUGCAUUUUAAUGCUAGACUCCCAGUCUGAGCAAGUGAGUGACAGCAUGGAUGUGUUUCAAAACAUUCGAAGUUACUUAACAGAAAUGUGGAAAAACACAAGAAAAACACCCCGGAUAUUUUCUGCAGAUUCUAUGCCAGCCCUGAAAUUGAGGGUACCUGAACAGCAAGGAAACACCUCUGAGUGCGGC